AUGAACGCUGGCGGCGUGCCUCAUCCAUGCAAGUCGAGCGAACAGACGAGGAGCUUGCUCCUCUGACGUUAGCGGCGGACGGGGGAGUAACACGUGGAUAACCUACCUAUAAGACUGGGAUAACUUCGGGAAACCGGAGCUAAUACCGGAUAAUAUAUUGAACCGCAUGGUUCAAUAGUGAAAGACGGUUUUGCUGUCACCUAUAGAUGGAUCCGCGCCGCAUUAGCUAGUUGGUAAGGUAACGGCUUACCAAGGCAACGAUGCGUAGCCGACCUGAGAGGGUGAUCGGCCACACUGGAACUGAGACACGGUCCAGACUCCUACGGGAGGCAGCAGUAGGGAAUCUUCCGCAAUGGGCGAAAGCCUGACGGAGCAACGCCGCGUGAGUGAUGAAGGUCUUCGGAUCGUAAAACUCUGUUAUUAGGGAAGAACAAAUGUGUAAGUAACUAUGCACGUCUUGACGGUACCUAAUCAGAAAGCCACGGCUAACUACGUG
rnacentral:rRNA from 1 species